GAUUAAAUGGCUGAAGUUUAGGCAAUAAAUUGUAAAUUUAUUUAUGGGAAGUAUCUCUUUAAUCA
rnacentral:tRNA from 1 species